GGAGUUGUGGCUCAGUGGUAGAGCAUUCACCUAGCAUGUGUGAGGCCCUGGAUUCCAUCCUCAGCACCCCUA
rfam:Ictidomys tridecemlineatus contig130706, whole genome shotgun sequence.